rnacentral:SRP_RNA from 10 species
GCCGGGCAUGGUAGCACGUGUCUGUGGUCUCAGCUACUCAGGAGGCUGAGGCAGGAGGAUCACUUGAUCCCAGGAGUUCUGUGCUGAUCAGGUGUCCUCAUUAAGUUUGGCAUCCAUGUGGUGACCUCCCAGGAGUGGGGGACCACCAGGUUGCAAAGCAGCCCAGGUUGGAAAUGGAGCAGGUCAAAGCUCUCUUACUGAUCAGUAGUGGGAUCACAUCUGUGAAGAGGCAUUGCACUCCAGCCUGGGCAACAUAGCGAGACCCCGCCU